UACAGAGGGUGCGAGCGUUAAUCGGAAUUACUGGGCGUAAAGCGUGCGUAGACGGUCAUGUAAGUCGGGUGUGAAAGCCCCGGGCUCAACCUGGGAAUUGCAUUCGAGACUGCAUCGCUUGGGUGCGGAAGAGGGAAGCGGAAUUUCCGGUGUAGCGGUGAAAUGCGUAGAUAUCAAGUGGAACACCAGUGGCGAAGGCGAGUCUCUGGACAUUUCCUGACGCUGAGGCACGAAAGCCAGGGGAGCAAACGGG
rnacentral:rRNA from 1 species